rnacentral:rRNA from 1 species
UACGUAGGGUGCAAGCGUUAUCCGGAAUUAUUGGGCGUAAAGAGCUCGUAGGCGGUUUGUCGCGUCUGCUGUGAAAACCGGAGGCUCAACCUCCGGCCUGCAGUGGGUACGGGCAAACUAGAGUGCGGUAGGGGAGAUUGGAAUUCCUGGUGUAGCGGUGGAAUGCGCAGAUAUCAGGAGGAACACCGAUGGCGAAGGCAGAUCUCUGGGCCGUAACUGACGCUGAGGAGCGAAAGCGUGGGGAGCGAACAGG